rnacentral:snRNA from 1 species
CAACCUCAGGCAGGGGAGAUACCAUGAUCCCGAAGGUGGUUUUCCCAGGGUGAGGCUCAUCCAUUGCACUGCGGGUGUGCUGACCCCUGCGAUUUCCCCAAAUGCGGGAAACUCGACUGCAUAAUUUGUGGUAGUGGGGGACUGCGUUCGCGCUCUCCCCUG